rnacentral:rRNA from 1 species
GAUGAACGCUGGCGGCGUGCCUAAUACAUGCAAGUCGAGCGAACGGACGAGAAGCUUGCUUCUCUGAUGUUAGCGGCGGACGGGUGAGUAACACGUGGAUAACCUACCUAUAAGACUGGGAUAACUUCGGGAAACCGGAGCUAAUACCGGAUGAUAUUUUGAACCGCAUGGUUCAAAAGUGAAAGACGGUCUUGCUGUCCCUUAUAGAUGGAUCCGCGCUGCAUUAGCUAGUUGGUAAGGUAACGGCUUACCAAGGCAACGAUGCAUAGCCGACCUGAGAGGGUGAUCGGCCACACUGGAACUGAGACACGGUCCAGACUCCUACGGGAGGCAGCAGUAGGGAAUCUUCCGCAAUGGGCGAAAGCCUGACGGAGCAACGCCGCGUGAGUGAUGAAGGUCUUCGGAUCGUAAAACUCUGUUAUUAGGGAAGAACAUAUGUGUAAGUAACUGUUCACAUCUUGACGUUACCUAAUCAGAAAGCCACGGCUAACUACGUG